rnacentral:lncRNA from 1 species
ACUGCACGAAACUAACUCGAUAGUUUUUAUUUUGCUUCUUGAUACACACACUUUCUGCCAACACCCUACGGAGCCGGCAAGUCCUGUGACAGGCUUUCCUUGUACUUGCCUUGAUUCUCACUGUGCUCUCAUCACGUCGUGGAUCUGAAGUUCUGUGCUCAUGAGUCAUCGUGAGCAUUCUACAUGGCUGCGGCAGCAAGGGCCGGUGUGGGGUAAGAAUAUUGUAUGCAUCCUCUCUGCACAGGGGCAUACUCCAUUGAUCCACCAGUUCAGAGAUAAAAUGUUUAAAAGUUUCAAACAGCAACAACACAGGGUGAACCCGAGCUCAGGGAUUCUCUGGGCAUACAGCCCUCAGGCUCCUCGAUCCUGAAGCUGGCCCUGUUUGCAGUCAGACCUCCCUCUGCCUCUAGCCUCUGGCCAUCACUGAUCUGUUUUCUGUCCCUACAGUUUUGCCAUUUCAAGAAUGCAACGUAAAUGAAUCACACAGUAUAUAACUUUCUAACUUUCGAGUCUGGCUCCUUUCAUGUAGCAUUUGCCUCUGAGGUUCAUCUUUGUUGCAGCAUAUCAGCACUCCAUUGUGUGGGUGUACACAGUUUAUUUCUCCUCCCCGGUGGACGGACAGCCUUAAUCUUAGCACUGAGGGGUGUGCCUGUUCUUUGAAUUUUCAGGUUAAUCAGAAUUUUUUUUUUUUGAGGCAGAUCUUGGUUGCAGCAGCCCGAUCCAGUUCCUUUGACCAUAAGCCCUCUCUCCUUUAUGGCAAUGGUAGGUGAGGAGGAAAAUAACAUGCAAGUGAAGCAAACAGUGAACUCCCAGCCCAGGAAGGUCUGGGAAGGAGUGGGGAAGGGUAUACUACAGGAAAGAUCAUAAAACAAACAGGAAGAAUGCGCGUUAUGUAUGAAAGGGUUACCUUGCUCAUCAUGCUCGAAGGAAUGCCGACUUCUUACUUUUCCAGUUGAAUUUGUUCUUAGAAUAAAUCCAUAGAUCUGAAUCUACAUUGGAGAGAUUGGUCUACUCUAGCCCUAUGCUUUAAAGAAAAUUCUGGAAAUCAGGAAUGCAGACCCAUCACUGCCCUGGCACCCUGAGCAGGCAGCGUUCAGAGCACUCCAGUUAGUUCUUGCUGGGCUGGCUCUCUGGGUCGUGUCUUACCUGGAGGGUUGGACCCACCCAGAACAGGAAGUAGCACAGAGAGUCAUGCACCACGUCUAGAGCAUUAAACAGGACUCAGUUGGCUGAUGCAUUAAGCUAAACCUGUUUAGGUGGCCUCGAGGGUUUAAAGAUGUUGCUGAGGCUGUCAGCGGCUGUCGGCAGCCCCUCAGCUCUCGCGUUACUUUGCUCCACGGGCUUCCUCUUGCAAACCCCGUGGCUCUGCCUACUAGAGCAUGCUUGGCAUGUGUGCAGGGCUGGUCACACGUGGUGGCGGUUAGUCCUCAGUGAAAUGAUGGACAACUGUGGUGUGGUUUGUGCAGUCUCUCGGAGGCCCCCAGCGGGGCUGAGCUCCAGUUGCCCACAGCGGACAUCUUCACACUCCCUGUGCUGCCUCUUUUCCCUGCUUUGUCUCACUUCCCCACUCCCUGGGAUGACCUCCUAAAAGAACUAUUUGCACUGGAAUCUUUGUCUCCCGGACAGCUGAAGAGGUUAAGCUCCUACAUAGGAGGCCAGUGUAUUGUGACAUCAGAGCCUUCUUUGUCUACCAGCCAGGUCUCUGCUCAGAUGGCAUCGUGGACACUCUUUAUGAGAACCUACCUUGCAGUGCUGUAGCUGCCGUCUGCUUGUGCUUUGGCUCCUAAGCGCAUGGUUAAGGAAAUACUCAGCUUUCAGGGUUUUUGUUUGUUUUAUCACGAGUGAAAUUCCUGGCACAGAGCAGGGAUCCAAUGUCAUUGCUGUUACUGUUGAUGAAGAUGAAAUGGUGAUCAAGACUAAAGAAGGUGAAGAAGACUAACGGUGAUGAAGAUAAAGAUGACACUGGGAAUGUAUGAUCCUAACCAGAGCUGGCGGAAGAAGCCACACUGAGCUCUUAGUCAUCUCAGCAUGUGCCUUGGAAGUUUUGUUUAUUGGCACACUUCACUUGGUGGCAGCUUCACUUGGGCCAAGUCAGUGCUGUUUCCUGGGUUCGUGGAUUGAAACUUAUUUCUUCAGAGAGCAAGCCAUCAACAAUGAGCAGGCUGGUGACCAAAGGAGGCCUUCUUUACUGUGGGGUGUCUUCUGAUGCAGCAGUGAGGGAGGGCAGGUCGGUUGAGAUCACCAACCCAUCAACCGGCCCUGUGCAAAUGCCCAAUAAGUGACCCUUUUGAUGUCAAGGGGCUGAAACUUCCACCCUCAGAUCGUACCAACACCACCAUUUGUGAACAUGCGUCCUAUGAGGAGCCAUGAAGCUUGACGAUGCUUGUGCAGAUCAUUGAUUACCUCACUUCUCCUCUCCAGUCAUCUGUCUCCACACUUCAGACCGCCCUGCCCUUCAUCCUAUACAUUUUACCCCAAGCCCUGGAUCGGGGAGACAGAUCCGAGAGCUUAUACCUCCUGUCUCCUUGCAGAUCGAUCUCGCAAUAAAUCUGUAUUCUUUUCUCAAAAG